AAAUUCUGAAAGAUUAGCUCAUUGCUAAAAAUGUAUUAUUGGAGCAUUGGUAGAUUAUAAAAUUUAUCGUUCAUGAAUAAUGAAACACACAAAGGUAAGUUGAUUUUUCAGACAGGUACCAAUUUAAAAAAUUAGUUAUAACCAUAUUCAAUUCCAAAAUAUCAAUUACUUUCUAUGAUAACUAUUGAUAUAGACACUUGGUUUCAAACGCCAUCAUUGGUAAAUUGUCCUUCAUUUGCACACUUAAAAGUACAGUGAUCAACUACAAUGGAGGUGGCUUCUCUUUCCAUUACUUACCUAGGUUUUGCCACAUACUGAAAAUUUCACAACCCAUUGUGACGCGCAUGUCACCAUACCUGAAAUAAAACAAAAAGCAAACCUGAUACAAAGCCUUCAGAACAAAAGGCAUUUGUGUCUCUUUAAGAUAUAAACUAUCAAUGUGAAUUAAAAGACACUAUGUUGGGGGGUGGCUGGCUGGCUCAGCUGGUGAAGCAUGUGACUCUUGAUCUCGGUGUUGUGAGUUCAAGCCCCAUGUUGAGUAUGGAGAGUACUUAAAAAAUAAAAUCUUAAAAAAAUAAAAAUAAAAGACACAAUGUUUUUUGUUUGUUUUAAAGUUUAUUUAUUUUGAGAGAAAGAAAGAGAGACAGGGUAUUUGAGCAGGUGAGGGGCAGAGAGAGAGAAUCCCAAGUAGGUUCCACACUGCCAGCAUAGAGCCUCACACAGGGUUCAAACCCACAAAAUGUGAGAUCAUGACCUGAGCCGAAGUUAAGAGUCAGACACUUAACUGACUGAGCCACCCAGGUGUCCCAAAGACACUAUGUUUUUAAUUAAAGAUGUUUAAUGUAGGUGUUGUAAUGCUUCUAAUGUAAAUUCUUGUAUAAAUCCUUUAAUAAAAAAGAUCUGUCCCCUAAUUUAUUUGAUUCUUUUUUUAAUUUUUAAUUUUAUUUAUUCCCCACUUUAUUACUCUUUUAAUAAAUAUGUAAGGUAAAUGUCAUUAUUUUCAACAAACAUUUUUCUUGAUUUCACCUAUAUUUUUAGGCAUUUCUUUAACCUACACUUUUUUUUUUUGUUUUUUUUUAAUUUAAAUCCAAGUUGGUUAACCUAUCGUCUACUAAUGAUUUCAGGAACAGAAUUUAGUGACUCAUCACUUACAUAUAAUACCCAGUGUUCAUCCCAACAAGUGUCUCCUCAACGCCCCUCUUUCACUUGCCCAUACCCCCACCCCCCUCAACACCCCACCAGCAACCCUCUGUUUAUUCUCUGUAUUUAAGAGUCUUUUAUGGUCUGUCUCCCUCUCUGUUUUUAUAUUAUUUUUGCUUCCCUUCCCUUAUGUUCAUCUGUUUUGUAUCUUAAAUUCCACACGAGUGAAAUCAUAUGAUAUCUUCCUCUGACUGACUUCUUUCCCUUAGAACAAUACACUGUAGUUCCAUCCAUGUUGUUACAAAUAGCAAGAUCUAACUCUUCUUGAUUGUGGACUAAAAUUCCAUUAUAUAUAUAUAUAUAUAUAUAUAUAUAUAUANNNNNNNNNUCACACACACACACACACACACACACACACACACAUACACACACCACACCUUCUUUAUCCAUUUAUCAGUCGAUGGAGAUUUGGGCUCUUUCCAUACUUUGGCUAUUGUUGAUAGCACUGCAAUAAACAUUGGGGUGCAUGUGCCCCCUCAAAUCAGCAUUUUUGUAUCCUUUGGAUAAAUACCUAGUAUUUGCUUCUAUAGUACACUGAUUCCUGAAAGACUGAGGACAGUAAGUAAGUUCAAAAUUUCCAGAAAAGACUGAUUCUUGUCCUCUUGUUCAUUGCCUCUCCAUUGUUGUUUCCAGUUAUGGACAUGAUUUAAGAAUCACUUGAACUAAACACCCUUUUAAAGGCACAACAUUUGAUUUGCCUCAUAAUUGCACCCAGUGAUACACUACUACUUACUUUUCUAACACCUUUUUCUUUUUGGAAGGUGUGAACAUCUCUAACUGUAGACACAAUUGGUUUAUAAAAAUGACUGCGAGGUAAAAGUAGGAAUCCCAAAUCUAGAACGAGAACAAAAUAUUUAAAUACUAUAGUGUUACAAAAAUAUGUACAGGUUAAGCGACAUUCUAUCUUUGCUUUGCUUCAACAGUGGUAAGGAAUGUGGGCAUAGUUGAAAUCAGAUUGACCCUGUGUUGAUAAUAGUUGAAGCUGGAUAUGGGUAUAUGGGGGUUCAUUACACUACUCUCUCUACUUGUAUAUAUGCUUGAAAUUUGCUGGAACAAAGAAGUAAAGCAAAUAAACACUAUUUAUACACUGUGCCAAUGCCGUAUCCUAGGUUUCAUAAGCUCUCUGGUAUAUGUUAAAUGGUAGGUGUUUCAUUUCUCUUAUAAUAUGUCUGACUAUCUCCACGGAAGCUGCGGUAUAAGUUGGGUUACUUUAUUCCUGUAAGAAUUCAUUUUUGGAACUCCUUUUAAUGGAGAAUUAAAAAAAAAAAAGGCGUACACUUCUCUGGAUAUGCUAACAACUUUAAAUUCAGACAGUAUAUAAAAAUUCCCUGCCCAGACAAAUCUUUGUCUAAGUUUUCUUACAUUAAAAACAGCAUCAGAAUGAGAUCAGAAUAAAAUUCCCCAAAAUAAACUUAACCCAAACACAUGACAUAAUGAAAGGACACUACUUCUCCACUGACACCAAGUACAAUUAGAAAUAAGUAGGAGAAACACCAUAGAUAUCUUUUAUAUAUAAAGAGCUCUUACAAACAAAAAAGAAUAUGAUAAAACUAAGCAAAAUAAUGAACAAAAGUCAAGAACAGAUGCUUCACAAAAUAUUAAUUUAGUCGAUAAUUCCAGGUUGACAUACAUAUAAGCAAUCAAAUAUAACUGGUACAACCUUUAACUCAACAAUUCCACUUACAGAUGUUUAUCCAAAAACAAAAAACAAAAAACAAAACUAGAGACAUACACCAAGUUUGAUUUUGUAAGAAGGUACAUAGAGAAAUUUAUAAGAAUAAAAUAGCAGAAACAACUUGAGUAUUAAAAAGGAGUGUUGUGGGCACCUGGGUGGCUCAGUUGGCUGAUUGUCUGACCUUGGCUCAGGUCAUGAUCUCACAAUUCGUGAGCUCAAGCCCUGCAUCAGGCUCUGUGCUAACAGCUUGGAGCCUCGAGCCUGCUUCAGACCCUGUGUCUCCCUCUCUCUCUGCCUCUCCCCCACUCAUGUUCUGUCUCUCUCUCUGUCUCUGUCUCUGUCUCUGUCUCUCAAAAAUAAACAAACAUAAAAAAAGGUAGAGCUGUGAUCAUGAUAUUUUGAUCUAUUUAUUAUUGUAUGAUAUGAUAUAAAGAUAUAUUAGGCAACCUUUCAAUUCCAAAGGUCUUUACUGCAUUUGUGGUUUUUAAAACACCUUGUAAUUAUCCAAAUGUGGACCUUUUCUUAAAUGUUUAAUAUGAAAAAUGUUAAUUAGAAAGAAUAAGAAAUAAAGAUGCCAAAAAUAGGGGCGCCUGGGUGGCGCAGUCGGUUAAGCGUCCGACUUCAGCCAGGUCACGAUCUCGCGGCCCGUGAGUUUGAGCCCCGCGUCAGGCUCUGGGCUGAUGGCUCGGAGCCUGGAGCCUGUUUCCGAUUCUGUGUCUCCCUCUCUCUCUGCCCCUCCCCCGUUCAUGCUCUGUCUCUCUCUGUCCCAAAAAUAAAUAAAAAAAAAAAAAAAAGUUGAAAAAAAAAAAAAAAAGAUGCCAAAAAUAUAAAAUAUCAAUAAGAAGGGAAGCCAAAAUAGCCACUGCCCAUCUUGGUUUACCAUUUAUCAUUUCCCAUUUAAAAAAUAAUCUAUCAUGAAUUGUUAGGCAUAACAAAUUAUAGAUGUAUAGACAGUUCUGCCUUAAAGAAUUUUACCUAUCUUUCAAUGUAUUUUUUAAUUCAUUCUAAAAAAAUGUGAAGAUGGAGAAGUAAAGGAACUGAAGUGUUGACUUUGUAAACAUUUUCUUCAUAUAAAGUCUAUUUUAAAAAAUGUCUUAAAAACGUAUGUUCUAAGUUCCCUUUGUCACACAUAAGGACCAUACAGGAAAGACGAAUGAAAAUUUAUAGUAACAACACGGAACUACUUCCUCUUAAGCACUAGGAUUUCCAGUAGGUUGACAAGCAGGAUAAAAGCCCUAACUUGUUGACAAAUAUCAUGAAAACUCUUCGAAUAUUAUUCAUAAUGAAAACUACAAUGGCUCAAGAUAAAUUUAGGGUAUAGGGGAGGUGGAAUAAAUUUAUUUUCCUAUUGUUAAGAGCAAGAAAAUAAAUUAGAUAAUUUCCUCAAGUACAAGGUAAAAGAUUUCAGCUCAGGCAGGAUAGUCAUCCAGAUUGAUACUUACCUUAUAAUCAAAGUUUUCAUUUAAGAAAUUCUUACGAAGUGCAUCAGACAGGUAUAGAACUGUUGUAAUAAUAACACUAGUGAUAAAAAAAAAGAACAUUUUAAGGUCAAAACUUUGCAUUAGUGAAAAUCAUUUAUUAGAUAAGAAAAAAGCAAUUAAGAUAAAAGAAACCCUAUAGAAAGCGUGUGGAACAAUAUUAUUUGAAUACCAUGUACCUUUUUUUUUAAUUUAAUUUUUUUUAAUGUUUAUUUAUUUUUUAGAGAGUGACAGCGAAUGGCGGAGGGGCAGAAAGAUAGGGAGUCACAGAAUGUGAAGCAGGUUUCAGGCUCCAAGCUGUCAGCACAGAGCCCAAUGCGGAGCUUGAACUCAUGAACCGAGAGAUCAUGACCUGAGUCAAAGUCGGACCCUUAACCGGCAGAACCACCCAGGGGCCCCUUAAUUUAAUUUUUUAAAAAGUAAUCUCUACGUCCAACAUGGAACUUGAAAUUAUGACCUCGAGAUCAAGAGUCCCCUGGUCUACUGACUGAGCCAGCCAGGCGCCCCCAAUGUGGGACAAUAUUAGAUAAUUCAUAUUUGAAACAGAGAAAAGGGACACCAGGUAAAAAAAGAAAAAAAAAUCAAUCACUUAAGUUCUUUGUAAAAUGAUACAAAGAUCUAUGAAUUCAUACAACUCAGGCAGAAAUACAUUAAUCUCCUGAUGUUUUAUGGUAUUAUUAAUUUCUGGAGAAAGCAAAAUGAUUACUUCAAAUAUAAUAUUCCAUGUUUGAUGAACAUGGGAGAAAGCCACACUUUAAAAAAAAAAUGCAGAAAAAGAAAUGGAGCCUAAAGAAGAAAUAGAUAAAAUGAAAGAAUAUAUUGAAUAUUUAUUAUAGGUCUUCUCUGUUUCCCCUGUUCCAGGUAUUAGGGGGCAUGCAAGAGCUCCUGAAGGCAGACUCCCUCUCUCUUGGUGACAGAAUGCCACUACAGAAACAAUUACAGACUGUGAAAUUGUCUAUAACCCAGCACUACGCUGUAUGAAACUGCCAGGGGCUGUUAGAGCAAUUCAGAGAAUGGGGCAUCUCAGGGCUAGAGAAAGUAGGGGAAGCCUGACAAGGAGUCACAUGCAGCCACGUGUAGCUUGCUGGGGAGAGUAAAAGGGAAGGGUUUGGUGAGCAUUCUUGGUUAACUCUAGACUUACGCAAUUUGUUCAAAACCUGCUCCUUUUUACAGCUAUAGUAGUUGACAUCCAAAACUGAAUACAUAUCCAGUUGAUUUCAUAUUACAUACAGAAUUAUGCUGAAACGAGAUAGGCCACUCCCCAAAAUACCAUACACAAAUGGUAUAUAUACAUGGUUGACAAUCGGAAACCUCCUUGGCCUUUGCUGAGAUGCAUGCCUGAUGGGAGUUUGUGAUGUGAUCGGACUCCAGUUCUCACCACAGGAUUUGGAAUCGAAGAGUAGAGCUGUAUGACCCCAAAUAAAAUGAAACAACACCCCAUCAACUUCACACCUUGAUUAUCCUAUUGGUGAAACAUAGAUUAGAAGGAUAUUUACUAACCAGAAGAGUAUUUGCAGUCUUUGAGAGACAUAAAGGCUCAUUACUGUUAUGUGCUGGAAAACUCACUAUUAGAGCCUUCUCCUGGGAUAGGAGAGUAUUAAUGAGACUAAGGGGUUGGAUGACUGAAUGUGAAGCUCAGGGUAAAGAAAGGGAAAGAGCAGAAAACCACCAUGCCUUGGGUACCUGCUCUACCAUGAGCAAGCACUGUGGUACAUGCAUGUUCAUUUUACAUAUGUCAAUUACAUCUUUCAACGAACCUUACUAGGAAAGUUAAGUAUAAGCAAAGCCUAUGAAAUUGCAAAGUCCUAUGGUGUCUUCAACCCCCAAAACAGCAGGGUAUCAUCAGUGAAUUUCCUAUCAAAGACAGAAAUCACCUGAAAAUAGCACAAAGUGGCAAUUUUCAGUAGCCACUAGCAAAAGUAAUGAUGACAACUGAAGAAAUCAUUAAAAUGUCCAAAGAAAGUAGUCUAUCCAAAACUUAUUUUAUGAAACUAAAGCUUAAUUAUCAGAAAACGGAAUGCUAUUGAAGGGCUUUGGAAAAUACUGAGACCUGAAAAAAUAGAAUGGGAUCAAAAUUUUAAACUGCAAAAUAAAAACUAAAAAAGGUUAAUUACACUUCCAGAGAAUGCAACAUUACUGAUUUCAUUAAAUGUUCAAUUUCACAUUUCAGUAACUUCUACUGUAUUGAAAAAAAGUAUAGGUUACUUUAAAAAUCUUCACAAGAAUUCCCAACUGUACAGAAAUGCUGAGAAAUCACAACCAAUUGGAGUUAAAUAAUUUACUCGUAGGCUAGUAGUUUAAAAAGCAAAAUGUAAAAAUUGUUUUUUUCUUCAGUAAAAUGUGGUUUGUGGAUCUAUUUAAUAUAUUUGAUAUGCUGAGAGUAAGAUCUCCAAAAGUAAGACUCCUCUGGGCUAGAAAGACCUAAAAUGAGUCUACUUCAAAUGCCUUUCAUUUAUGCUUAUAACAUUCAGCCCAAGACACAGAGGCAGCUCUGAGAGCUUUUUAUGGUAACUCAGCACUGAGUCAGUAUCCUGGCACACAGGUCCCCAAGCCAGCUGAAGGCAUUUAUGCAUUAUUGCUCCUUCAUUACAGUUGAUACCUGUGGUGUUUAGGGAUCUUUCUUUACUUGUUCCAAUUUAUCCAAAAUCAUGUGGCUCCUUUGGCUUUAUUCUUUUACUCAUGACUCAGUUUCUGAAUAUUAAGGACAUUUCAAAUCUUAGCACUCCAAUUCAAUAGCCAAGAAAGGUUUGCAAUCUGUUACUACAAAUGGUCAAAUUACUGAUAUCUGCCACAGAAACGCAGCCACAAGGAUCAUUUCUGACAGCUGUAAUCUGUGGGCACAGCACAAUAAAAUUUACACAUAAAAGAGGAAAUAGUGCACAGGAAGUCAAAGUUAUGGCUUCAAGAUUUUCAGUUGCCACCUGAUUCUAGCAUUUUGAAAGUAUUUUUUAAGUAACACUCUCUCCUUGCUAUAGAAAUCCCAUUUCUCAGAAUUUGUCAGUUUGAAAACUACUCCAAGAUGAUAAUGUGCUCAAGCAAAAGCCCACCUCCACAAAUGAUACCUGGACUGGGAGAAGCCCCUUUGUGGAUAAACUAGAUAUCAACAACACUAAUGUUUACACACAGAAAACCUCAGGAAAUCUAUUCGUGGAGGUAACUUCCCUACAAUCUGGUGUGUUAACGGGGGCAGAAGGGAUCAACGCAAAGACACUUGGGGCAGAUGAAAAUCCUGGAAGGCCAUCAAGGGGACUGAUCCAAGCUAGUGAUUCUCAAACUUCAGAGCGCAUGAUAAUCACCUCAAGUAUUUAUAAGACUUCAGGGCCUUACCACCACCCAUGGCCUGGUGAGUUCAAGGUGGGGCCCAGCCAGAUGAUUCUCAUGCACCUGAUUACCCUGUUUCAUUUUGGGGACUGUGUUGCAGAGAGAAGACAAGACAGACGGGUUGGACUUGGAGAGCAGUGAUGUUUAGGGAAUUUGGCCUUGUUAACCACUGUUUCACCAAGGGUCUAGUCCACAAUAAGUUCUUUUUUUUUUUUUUUUCAACGUUUAUUUAUUUUUGGGACAGAGAGAGACAGAGCAUGAACGGGGGAGGGGCAGAGAGAGAGGGAGACACAGAAUCAGAAACAGGCUCCAGGCUCCAGGCUCCGAGCCAUCAGCCCAGAGCCUGAGGCGGGGCUCGAACUCCCGGACCGCGAGAUCGUGACCUGGCUGAAGUCGGACGCUUAACCGACUGCACCACCCAGGUGCCCCAAACAAUAAGUUCUAUUGUAGCCUCACAACUAUAUUUAAACCUAUGCUUUGUUAUCCUUGGUUGCUGUAGUAGGUAAUUCUAAAAUGAGAAGCUUGUAAAACCUCUUACACCCCUUUGAAAGAUAUUUUAAAGAACAGAAGCAAAGACACUCCAAGUGGAGGGCACAACAUAAGCCAAAACAAGGAAGCAGGAAGCCAAGUGCUUUUGCUUUUAGUCAAGGAAGGAUCCAGUGUGGGUGAGGAAGAAUGGAACAAGGAUUGAAAGAGAGGGAUUUUAACAACUCCCUUGACCUUCUCCACUGAGCAGCAGUGGCAGAAAGUCACUCACAUGUCAGCAGCCUCAGUUUUGGCCUGUUAGGCUCAGAUCUUAAGGAAACCUUCCCUUUCAUGUAUUCAUUCUUCCUGCCAGCUCCUCCCAACUCACCAGGAUAGGGACCACGUGGGAAGUUCUUGUGUAAAUAUUUGCCAUAACUAUUUGAGUGUGGCACAUUCAUCUUACUAAUAGAUAGUUUUGGCAAAAAUCAGUAUCUUCUCUCUCCCCUGGACAGGAAAAUUGUUUAAGGAUUAUAACUCUAAAAGAAAAACACCACCAGUACGAACAAAAAGCAGUGGUAGUGGUGUUGGCGGGUGCUUAACAGAUCAGCUGCCCUACCAUCCAACUUUUUCAUCAUCACUAUCACAUACCCUGUCUUCCCUCCUGUUACUAUGCCAAUGCUCCUAGCUAAGGUCAGGAUUUCUUUGUGUGCAUGAGAUCAGAGCUUCUUUUGUUGAGAAAGUCUUACCACAAAAAGCACUGCCUACAUGGCUGGUGUCAUUUCCAGUGCAAGCUGACUGUGGAGAGGGAACAGGCAGUUCUCGAUAUUCCCACUUGCCUACCCAAGUUGUUCCUUCACUUAUUCCUGUUUUCUUUAGUAUCAUCAGUAUUUCUGUCUUUGCCGGGCCAGCCCUAGCUAUAAGCCAAAAUACUAUAUAGUUCCAUGUUUUAAAAAGGGUCCUAGUCUCCUAAUUCCUUCCAGAUAUAGUCCCAUUUCUCUGCUCCCUUUCACAGCAAAACUUCUAGAGAGCGGCUUAUAUUUAUUGUUUUCACUUUCUCAAUUCCUACCCGUUCUCGAAUUCACUCUGAUAAGGCUUUCUCUAUCGGUCCACUGCAGCAGCACAUGUCAAGGUCAUCAAUCUCUACACCGCACUGCCAAAUCCCGGGUCAACUGCCAGUCUUCAUCAUCUUCAACCUCCCAGCAGCUCUUGGUAUUCCUUCCUUCAUGAAAUACUUACUCCACAGGACACUGUAGUCUGCUGGUUCUCACUUUAAAUCACAGGCUCCUCCUUUUCAGUCUCUUUUGCUGGAUGCUUCUCCAUACCUUGACCUUUAAUAGCAGUAUCCUCUACAGCUCUGUUCUAAGCACUCUUCCCCCUUCCAGUCUACACUCCUUUCCGGGUGCUCUCAUUCAGUUCCAUGGCUUCAAAUACCAUCCAUAUGCUGGUGACCCUCAAAUGCACAUCAUCAGCUCUAACCCCUUCCCUCAGCUCCAUAUAAGCAUGGGUAGCUUCCUCUUCUAUGUUUCCACUUGGAUAUCUAAGAGCAUCUCAAACUUGUUUAGCGUAAGAUUCUUCACCUCCCCCCCACCAAAGCUGUUCCUCUCAGUAUUUCCCACCAAAGUGAAUGGCACCACCAUCCAUCCUUUUGUUCAAGCCAAAAUUCUAAAGGCCAUCUUCCAUUUUUUCUCUUCCACCCACAUCCAGUCACCUGUAAGUUAUGUUAUCUCUAUCUUCAAAAUUGUUCUUCUUACUACCUUCACUGCUAUCCACCUGUUCAAGCCAUCAGCGUCUCUUACCUGCACUGCUGUAUUAAGCUACUAACUGCUGCUUCUUGGUUUCUUUCAUGUUUCUCUACUCCCUAAUAUUUGGGCCCUGUCUUCAUCUUCCCAACUCAUCUUUACUGGUUCCUUCUCUGCUCAUGUUUCAGCCAUAGUAACAGUCCUUUGGUGCAUUUAAAUGUGCCACAUUCAUCCUGACCACAGGGCCUUUGUAUAUGCUAUUCCUGCUGGUAAGAAGAUUCUUCCUUUGCUGUCUACCUGUUAAUUCCUGCUUUAGCUUUCAGCUCAAGUUUGACUUCCUAAUGAAAGAGCUCUCCAAUCCCAGUACAGAGCAAAGUUCCUUUCAUAAACAUCUUCAAAUAACUGUGCUCUAUUUUUAUGGAAUUUAUUUUAUACUGUAGGCAACAAAAAAGAUUUGCUAAAUGGAUGGGUCAGGAAAUGAAUGACCUCCCCUAAGAAUCUUUGAUUCCAUAAAUCACCUAUUCACUACAUAGAUCUCAUAUGAAAGCUAAAUUAGCUAAUAGUAAUAGUCAACUAAAUAAUUCAGGGUUUGAUGAGAAAAAGCACAAAAGAAAAUGUACCCUAGGUUUGAAGCCACCAUGUACACAAAAUAAAUAAAUUAAGGACCUGAAAUUUCAACUCGUAGGCCAGAAGGUUUUACUUUCCUCAGCAGCAAGUCUGUUAUAAGAUUUAUCUCUUUGAAAAUGUAUAAAACUGUGACUUUAUUUUUGUACUGUAUUUUGCAAUGUGUAUGGGAAGGGGGUGGAAAGAAGCUUGUCUCAAAGUGUCCUGUAUUUUUGGUACUUAAUUUUCAUCUCCCUUAUGUUCCUUCUUUCUCAAAUUGAGCAGUUGUUCUCAUCAGAAACAUCUACCAAGAACUUAACAGUGGGCACAAUACAGCUUUGCACACAAGCUAGAGAGUCACAUGUCUUAUCCUUGUGAAAUUUAGCCUGGAUGCAGUUACUGUGUUGUUACCUAAUAUUAGACAUUCGGGUGGAAAUAAACCACACAAGACCGUACUAAUCACCAAGAGUCUGGUCAUAGCUUUUGGUAGGACUUCACAUAAAGCAGGGAAGCUACAUGGUUUGGGACAAUAUAGUUUGUAGAUGAAAGUUAAAGGCAUUUAACUUACUUGAACACACAGGAAGAAAGGAUCGGCACAUAAAAGAAGGCAUAUUUUGAGUUCGAGGGUAGGGCAGUGUGACUUCUCAGCUAGUUACUAUCAAUUUGGCAUGUAUGAAGCACAUAGUGGGUAGUAAAAGUGGGAGUUUGGGUCAAAAUGCCUCUUUGAGGAGCCCUGAUCAAACCAUCUAAGGAAGGUAGCACCAUGGAAGAAAGGUGGUCAACCUGAGAGAUGUAGACCUAGCUCCUCCAACUUGCUUCUACACAGUUAGCAAAGCGAUAACGUUUUCUUUCCAGUGUACGUUCUUUAACAUAUUUUAAAUAUCCUUAACAUCUUUCAGAAAUUUAGUUUUCUACCAAUAUUACAUGGCUAAUACCUGUAUGGAUAAAGCAGGAAGAGCUGAAGGCUUAUUUCUGGAACAUAUUGCACUCAUAAGGCAAGGAAAAUCUCAUAUGGCUUCAUAAUUUGAACGGGAAAUGGCUAGGGUAGUUGAAUGGGGAGAAGAGAGGGAAGCAGAAUGGCAAAGAGCAGUGUCUGUUUCAACUCUGCAGGAGUUCUACCAGACCCUGGAGCCCUCUCUACAAAUUAGAUCGGACUUGCCAUCACCAGUGGAAAAACAGUGCUCACUUCUUAUCAGCACUGACUUGGGUGGCAAGGGCAUGAUGUCAUCGCAUUUAGCAAAGGCUGAUGGCCUUUUCCUUGGAUUUGCUUUUGGAGUAUCUUCUGUUUAAAUGCAUUACACAGAGCUCAUCUCAAAGUAACUGUGCUCCUGUUUGAUUAGCACCAGAUAAAAAUAUUGAACAUUGUGUGUUUACUCAAAAGCAGAAUCUAUACUUCUAAGUCUGUUACCCAUUUGUGUGACCAUGAAGUCUUCAUAAACGGCGUGUAGACUUUUAGGUGAAGUAGAGAGAGACAGUGUUUACUUUAAAAAAGUCACAUUGUGGUCACGAUUUUCAGGAAGCUCAAGCAGAGCCUGUGUGCAUAAGGAACAAAAUGUCAAAUUUAUCUUUGGUUUGAAUUUCUGCCAUUAAAUAUUCUAAUUCAAGGCAAAAUAUCCCUGUGCACACAGGGCAGACAUGAUGACCAAAUGAUGAUGCUGCAUGAUGAUGAUGUCAGCAGCCUGGACCUCUUCCCAGAUAGCUCCCUGGACUACUUCAUAGCCCUCUGCAUGUACCCAGCAUGUAGAUCUUUGGUAAUAAGGCCAGAUACAUGACAAAUAGUUCCCAUUUAAAUCUGUGGCUUCCGGACAUCCAGACAAAAAGAUAUGUGAUUCUACUCACAGAUAUCAAACUAAAUAUGCUAAAUUCUAAAGAGAGCUAUUUCAGGAAUCUCAAUUAGUCUUCAAAAUGGAAAAGCUUCUUCUGUACUUAUGUAAAAUAUAAUAUGCCAUAUUAUACUAUUUGUUACUUCACAAGUUUUUAACACAUCAUUUUAACACCUCCACAUCUAUAAAUGUAGACUGCAGCAGAAGCCAUAUUAGGCACAUCUUAUCAAAAUCAAACCCUAUAUUACUGUGGCUCUUACCACCAUCAUACCUGGCAUCUGGGGAAGACAUAUGGUAUCUCUGGCCUAUGGCUAGACACCUGGAGAAUUCAACUGUUAUCCUGAAUGUGAAGGUGUUCGGGGCUGGACAAGAGGAGGAAGGAGAAGCAGGCAAACGUAGACUCGAAAGAAAGAAUGUUCAAGAAACAGGGUAAAUGACAAGUGUGGAAGUAAAGAUCAGCCAGUUUCCUGAAGAACUUCACCUUCAUUCUGUAUCCUGAGAUGACAGAGACAGGAAGCAUGACAGCAGAUAAAGCCAUGACACUGUAUUCUCUGGGACAGCUCCUGCCUUUCUGGCUGCCCUCUAAUCUCUUUUCCUGGCUCCUAUUACUUCUAGUACUGACGUCAAAUGUUUCAUUUUUUCCCCCUGGAUGUGCCUAAUACAAGCCAAUUUUAUCAACUUCCAGAGAUUCAUCUUUAUGUCAAUAUCUCCCCAAAUGUCUUCUCUAGUUCUGAAUUUUGCUGAGAGCAUUAUUUUCAGUAGUCUACCAGCCUUCUCAGUUGGCUGUAUAAAAGAAACUUCAAUCUUCA
rnacentral:lncRNA from 1 species